ACAGGGGGCUGAGGAGUGCUGGGUCGGGCUUCCAGCUCCCUACAACGCAGACCAGUACUGGAGUUCGUGGUGCUGGAAGACCGCCGCCCGACUCUGGGCCCCGGGUAGGAAACGUAAGUGCCAGGAAGUUAGCAGAGUGGUUCUUUGGCUGGCGCCUGAACCUCGCCAGUCUUCGUCGCCCCUCCCCUGCCAACGCCUACCCCGCUUCGACCGGAGGGUGCGCUGUCCCUCUGGUCACUGUGAUCACCGUCCAUGGCCGCCUGCGGAUACCCACGCCGUGCUCAGAAGAGGGCUCUGAGGCCACGCCCGCCUGUGGGGUCGGUGGCCGGGCUUCCGGGACCCCAGAGGGAGUCGUCGCGCGCUAGGUGGAGGGGACCCCUCUGGAAUCCGGCGAUCCCCGGGCGCAGAUGCAGGAGCGGGUGGGGAGAGCCGCGUUCCUGGCAUGUUUGCCUCGAGUUAGUCACGAAGGAAUCGAAGAGAGCCUUAGUCUUCGAGGCUUUUCCCUUCCUGUGAGCCCCUUUGAGGCCAGCACAUUGAUUUUUUUUUCUUUCGCAGAACAAUUUCGGACCUCCUGGGGUCUAUGCUAGGUAUGAGGUGUAUCUUUGCCCUCCAUCAAGUAGCAAAGAUGGACAUGUAAACAAAUUUCGACACUGUGAUGACUGCCACAAAAAGCAGCAUUAUGAGGUUGAAUGUAAAAGGAUAACCUUAGCGGCGGCGGGGGCCGGAGGAUGAAGGAAGGCUUCCUGAGGUAGGCGCUGGUUGAAACUGAAGUUGGAGAGAGCAAGUGGCAUUUGCUGAAGUGCAUUUCCGGUAGAAAACUCCAGUGGUCCCUCACCUGACUGAGUGGCGCAGUCAGAGAUAAAUGGAACAGGUACACUGACCAGAAAGGGCAAGAUGGGCUAAACUUCGCCGUUGGGCCACUGGGCUCCCCCGCAGGAUUUUAAAGAGCUAGCCAGUAGAUGGAUUUUGUUUUUGUUAUUUUCGCAAUUUAUUUUCAAAUAUGUAAUACGCGAACUUGGUACAACAUUCAUGUGAUAAAAAGGUAGAUACGUGGGCAGGACGCGGUGGCUCACGCCUGUAAUCCCAGCAUUUUGGGAGGCCGAGAUGGGCGGAUCAUUUGCUGUCAGGAGUUCGAGACCAGCCUGGCCAACAUGAGUCUACAAAUAAACAUUUUAUAAAGAUGAUCCUUCAAUACAUAUUCUACAGCCCAGUUAAAAUGUGAGAGGCCAUGAUCUACAGACAGCCAUUUAUAAAGGUGGAUCAGGGCCGGACACGGUGGCUCAACGUCUGUAAUCCCGGCACUGUGGGAGGCCAAAGCGGGAGGAUCGCUUGAGCCCAGGAGUUCGAGACCAACCUGGCCAACAUGGUGAGACCCCAUCUUUACAAAAAAAUAUAUAUAUCCAGGCAUAGUGGUGUGCACCUGUGGUCCUGUGGUCCCAGCUACUCAGGAAGCUGAGGCAGUUGAGGCUGCAGUGAGCCACGUUCUGGCCACUACACUCCAGCCUGGGCAUCAAAGUGACAAGACCAAAAAAAAAAAAAAAUGUGGAUUGGAAGGAGGCAAGAAAGAAGUCAGGAAAAGGGUGGAAUGUAAGUCCCUAAGGACACAAUCUUACUCACAAUUGUAUCUCCAACAUUUGGCAUAAUGCCUAAUACGUAAGUAUUUUAUGAAUUAAUUAAACGAGAACACAAGCCUAAAUUAAGGCAAUGGCAAUGGAGAAGAAGAAACCAACUUGAGAAAUAUUUAAAGGUCAUUGUCAAUGGAACUUAGUGACUUUAAUGGUUAAUUUUAUCUAUCAACUUGGCUAGGCGAUGCUACCCAUGUUACUCAGUUUUUGGUCAAACACUAGUCUAGUUGUUGCUAUGAAUUGUAUUUGUUAGAUGUGAUUAACAUUUAAAUCAGCAGACUUUGAUUAAAGUACAUUACCCUCUAUAAUGAGGGUGGGCCGCAUCCGGUCAGUUCAAAUUAAAACGAGACCCUUAAGAAGAAGCAAUUCAGCCUCCAGACUGCAGCGUCAAAUCUCCCUGGGUCUCCAGGCUGUUUGUCUGCCCUGCAGAUUUCAGACUUGCCAGCUCCCAGAAUAAUGUGAGCCAAUUCCUUAAAAUAAAUCUCUUUC
rnacentral:lncRNA from 1 species